rnacentral:rRNA from 1 species
UACGUAGGGUGCAAGCGUUAAUCGGAAUUACUGGGCGUAAAGCGUGCGCAGGCGGAUUUGUAAGUUUGUCGUGAAAUCCCCGGGCUUAACCUGGGAAUUGCGAUGAAGACUGCAAGGCUAGAAUCUGGCAGAGGGGGGUAGAAUUCCACGUGUAGCAGUGAAAUGCGUAGAGAUGUGGAGGAACACCGAUGGCGAAGGCAGCCCCCUGGGUCAAGAUUGACGCUCAUGCACGAAAGCGUGGGGAGCAAACAGG